UACGUAGGGUGCGAGCGUUGUCCGGAAUUAUUGGGCGUAAAGAGCUCGUAGGCGGUUUGUCGCGUCGACUGUGAAAUCCCGAGGCUUAACCUCGGGCCUGCAGUCGAUACGGGCAGACUAGAGUUCGGUAGGGGAGACUGGAAUUCCUGGUGUAGCGGUGAAAUGCGCAGAUAUCAGGAGGAACACCAGUGGCGAAGGCGCCGCUCUGGGCCGUGACUGACGCUGAGGAGCGAAAGCGUGGGUAGCAAACAGG
rnacentral:rRNA from 1 species